ensembl:snRNA U6 U6 spliceosomal RNA
UUACUUUGGCAGUACAUGUAGUAAAAUUGGAAUAAUACAGAGAUUAACACGACCCUGUACAAGGAUGACAUAUAUAUAUGUAUACAUAUUUAU